AGGGCCCGCAGGGGUCCCCGUGGCCGCUGCGAUGCAGAAAUACGAGAAACUGGAGAAGAUUGGGGAAGGCACCUACGGAACUGUGUUCAAGGCCAAAAACCGGGAAACCCAUGAGAUUGUGGCUCUGAAGCGAGUCAGGCUGGACGAUGACGAUGAGGGUGUGCCAAGUUCAGCCCUCCGGGAGAUCUGUCUACUCAAAGAACUGAAGCACAAAAACAUUGUCAGCCUUUCAUUUUCCGUAGGCUUCAUGAUGUCCUGCAUAGUGACAAGAAGCUCACAUUGGUGUUUGAGUUCUGUGAUCAGGACCUGAAGAAAUAUUUUGACAGCUGCAAUGGUGACCUGGACCCUGAGAUUGUGAAGUCACUCCUCUUCCAGCUGCUGAAAGGCCUGGGAUUCUGUCACAGCCGUAACGUGCUGCACAGGGACCUGAAGCCCCAGAAUCUGCUCAUUAACAGGAAUGGGGAACUGAAAUUGGCUGAUUUUGGCCUGGCCCGAGCCUUUGGUAUCCCAGUCCGCUGCUACUCUGCUGAGGUGGUCACGCUGUGGUA
rnacentral:lncRNA from 1 species